UGCUCAGCAACUUUUAUCCCUACCUCCGCGUGGUACCGGCCAGGCUGCAUGUAACCUUUGGGAAGAUCGGGUAACCAACCCCGUUGGGUACUUUGAUCGUAGACUGACAGGGAAGG
rnacentral:ribozyme from 1 species